rnacentral:rRNA from 1 species
UGGGUUUAAAGGGUGCUCAGGCGGGGGGUUAAGUCGGCGGUGAAAUUUUGCAGCUCAACUGUAAAAGUGCCUUCGAAACUGGUUCCCUUGAGUGCGGAUGAGGUAGGCGGAAUUUGUGGUGUAGCGGUGAAAUGCAUAGAUAUCACGAGGAACUCCGAUUGCGCAGGCAGCUUACCAAGCCGUAACUGACGCUCAAGCACGAAGGCGUGGGGAUCAAACAGGAUUAGAUACCCUGGUAGUCCACGCAGUAAACGAUGAUUACUGGCUGUUUGCGAUAUAAUGUAAGCGGCUGAGCGAAAGCGUUAAGUAAUCCACCUGGGGAGUACGUUCGCAAGAAUGAAACUCAAAGGAAUUGACGGGGGCCCGCACAAGCGGAGGAACAUGUGGUUUAAUUCGAUGAUACGCGAGGAACCUUACCCGGGCUUGAAAUGCAUCUGUCGUCCCGAGAGAUCGGGAUUUCCUUCGGGACAGAUGUGUAGGUGCUGCAUGGUUGUCGUCAGCUCGUGCCGUGAGGUGUCGGCUUAAGUGCCAUAACGAGCGCAACCCCUACCGUUAGUUGCCAUCAGGUCAAGCUGGGGACUCUAACGGGACUGCCAUCGUAAGGUGCGAGGAAGGUGGGGAUGACGUCAAAUCAGCACGGCCCUUACGUCCGGGGCGACACACGUGUUACAAUGGGUGGUACAAAGGGCAGCUACAUGGCGACAUGGUGCCAAUCUCCAAAACCACUCUCAGUUCGGAUCGGAGUCUGCAACUCGACUCCGUGAAGCUGGAUUCGCUAGUAAUCGCGCAUCAGCCACGGCGCGGUGAAUACGUUCCCGGGCCUUGUACACACCGCCCGUCAAGCCAUGGAAGCUGGGGGUGCCUGAAGUCCGUAACCGUCAAGGAGCGGCCUAGGGUAAAACCGGUGACUGGGGCUAAGUCGUAACAAGGUAGCCGUACCGGAAGGUGCGGCUGGAUCACCUCCUU